GCCAGGAUGGUGAUUGGCACGCUUUCGCGUUUACAACUUGUCAUGUCUGUGGACAGAGCUCAACUAUUUCAUAAUCUUUCAUCCACCUGGAUUCCUGCAUACCCACUAGUAACCAUACAUGUUCUCAUUGGGAGUCCUAAUUAUAUCAAUGUGAUCAGAAUCUGGAUCUAACCUCUGCGGAAGUGCCCUUCUCCCUCUCCUUCUCUACACAGCAACAUCUGAAACCUACUCGCCAUCGCUACACUGCAGCAGGGCUUCUUCUCCGGGUCCAAGCUAGCUGGUAUAACAUGACUGCAGAAAUGCGUAUACCACUGCACGACUUACGUGAGAUUACAAAUAGAUUCUCAGUGGACACAAGAAUAGGACAGGGUGGGUACGGAGAUGUUUACAAGGGAGUUUACAAUGGGAGAGAGGUUGCUGUGAAGUUGCUUCAUGUUGAUCCGGUGCAAGGAAUUGACGACAAACAAUACAUCAAUGAAGUUGGUAACCUUUUAAGGGCUAAGCAUCCAAAUAUCGUACAGUUACUUGGUUAUAGUUAUGAAACAAUGUCUGAAUUUGUCAAACAUAAUGGUAAGGAAUGUUUUAGCCAACACAUAUAUAGAGUGCUGUGCUUUGAGUA